GUCCUUUAUGCCUCACUUAUCUGUAUGUCAAGCUCUUUUCCCCUGCUUGGGAAGUUUUCUGCCCUUAUUUCUGUGAAGAGAUUUUUUAUGUCAUCUUCACUCUCUCCUCUUUCUUCAUUGAGCUCAAUCAGUCUUAUGUUAUUCUUUUUUGCAUCAUCUAGCAGCUGCUGGAUUGAUUUCUCAUGUUCCCUUAUAAUUUUGAAGCAAUUUUUCUUUUCCUGGUCACUAAUUGCAAUCUUAUCUUUUAUAUCUGAAAUUCUGUCUUCACCCUGGCUCAUUCUGCUGUGUAGACGUUCAAUGGAGUUUUUCAUGUCUUGGAAAUCUAUUUGCAUCUGUUUUAUGGAUUCCAUUUGUUUCUUAUGUUGGGAAUCCAUCAUGUUCCUCAGCUCCUCUCUAGAUUUAUUAAUCAUGUCUUGCACUAAGGGCACAAUUUCUCCUGUUAUCUGAGAAAUUAUUUCUGAGUUCAUUUUUUUCCAGAUCCCCUUUUGUUGCCAGUUGAAUGGUCCAGGUGGUUGAGUAUGAGAGUGUUCCAUCUCAUUUCCCUUUGGGGUUGCUGUAGGUGAUCUAGAAGUCUGGUUUUGAGACUUAUUUAAGUGUUUUCUCAUUUUGACUGGGGGGGCCGCUGUUGGUGCCCGCAGGGAGUACCUCCUCUGAGCUGGGAGAGGUGGGACAGGGGCCAGGAGCAGUGGUAGGGAUGGUGGCCCAAAAGCCCUUUCUUCUGGGCUGGGAGCAGCGGGAGGGAUGGUGGCCAGGAAGCCCCUUCCUCUGGACCAGGAGCAGUGGGAGGGAUGGUGGCCAGGAAGCCCCUUCCUCUGGACCAGGAGCAGUGGGCGGCGGCUCAGAAGCCCCUACCUCUGGGCCAGGAGUGGCAUGACUCAGUACCGUAGUCUGGUGGUCUGGUGUCCUCUGUGUCUUUGUAGUGUGGAACCAGGUGUCUGUACAUAGGAACGGGGUGGGGGGAGCUGUUCUGUGCAUUGUUGCCGGUGCGUGGGCUGAUUCGGCAUGUUCAGCAUGACUCGUGAAGGUGAUAGGGUGUGCCUUCUUGAAGUUUCUGUAAGCAAUACCCAGGGCUAAUACUGUACCUGAUCGCCCCCCCUCAUACCACCCCUCAAACUGUGACACUCCCAUGGCAAGAAUGUGGAAAUGGAGUGAACUUACCUUCUGAGAGUCCAACUCUGAUAGGCCUGGAAUGGAUUAGAAGGAUGGAAAACUUCACCCUUUUAUACUCCAUUUGUAUAAAUUAUAUAAUCUUAGAAUUUCCAGGGACAUAACAUUUCAAUUUUGCGAUUUAUGCCUCCUUGUAAUUUAAAGAUAGAUGAAUGCUCAAGAAUAAGGAAAUAGAGGUGGUAACUACAGGUUCUGAAAUCAACCUGUUUGAAAAUCUUCCUAAGGCUUUGAGACCUCAGCAAAUUUCUUUACUCUCUGGAUCUAUUACUGAUAUGAGAAAUGACAGUAAUCAUUCCUAUCUCACAAGGUUAAGAGUGUGGACUUGCAUGUAAAGUGCACAAUGAGUGCUCAAUAAAUGGUGGCUGUUUCUAUUAUAGUUCCCAGUAUAAGAACAGAAGAAAAGCUGAUUUUCUCAAAAUAAAAGGAAUGACGUUGGAGGACAUGUUCAGGUGAAGGCAGUUGACCUGAUGGAGAGUGU
rnacentral:lncRNA from 1 species